CAUUCACAUGUUGGCCAGAUUUAUCCUGAAGUCCCUGCAGGUUAUUGGGGAGCAGUUCACACACAAGAAAAAUAAAAUAAAAUAAAAGCAGAAGACAUGCUUCACAGUUCUCACUCAGACCUUCUGGGUUGCAAAACAACUUGAACAUAAGUGCAUUUAUAAAUGAAUGAAUAAAAUAAAUAUAAUACUGUUUCUUCCAGAAGUUUUUGCAAUUUUCUGCCAUGAAACAAGCCACUUAUAGGACUUUUUAGAUAGUUUUUUUUAAGUCAGCAAAUUUUCCAAGCUGUUUCAAAAUAAAUAUUCAGAGACUUCUCGGUCCCUCCUCCCCCACCCCCAUAUCAAAGCCCUAUGGCAAGCAGAUCCCUAUAUAUCCGGGUGGGGGUGGGGAAGGUAACCACAAAAAGGAGUUCACACUCUACCUGGCAGCAGGGGGUCUUCUGCUGCAGAGAACAGUGGAGGCCUCUCUGGCUGCCUCCUCCUUCCUGGCUGGCUUGGGCCCUACUGGAGUUCAGGCUUCACAGAGGCCUACACCAGACCUCCCCGCCCACCCGCCGAUCAGCUGAGAGGUGGGAGAAAAGGAAUUCUUUGCAGCUUGUCUGCUGCCUCCAUUGCCGGCCAGGAGAACAAGCUGGAGAGACGGCGAACAGGGCAAGUGGCUGAGGGGCCUUGGGGCUGGGCAGGGGGCAAUGGGGAGUCACGUGAGGUGCCUCUGGGGGGCCCCUCCAGGCAGUGGGGCCCCCAGACAACUGUCUCCCCUUGCCCGAUCGUUGUUACGCACCUGGACCACACCACCAAGGACAGACCAAAGAUUUCUGGAGGCCCCUAAAGGGUGUGGAGUGGAUGGAGUGGAGGCCCUGAACUUCAGCCCUGGGGUCCUGGAAUGCUCUCCCAGUGAAUGUCUGCUCCUUGAUAUCUGUGGAUCCUUUUAAAAGACAACUGGAGACUUUAUUUGUUCCGGCUUCUACCUCUUAGGCACUGCCAGUGCCAGGUCUCUCAGCUUUCCUGCUUCUGUUUGUCUUUUUUAUGGUUGCUGUUUUUUGUCUUUGUGUUAGGGUUUUUACUGUUUAACUGGGUUAACUGUAAGGUUUCAAAUGUGAUUUUAAUGGUGUUUUACUGUAUUAAGUUUUGUAAACCACCUUGGGAUGCCUUAUGAAAGGCGGCUGAAAUUGAACAACAAACCAACCAACACACACACUAUCUGGAGGGUGAGGUUUGCCCACCACCUCUGAGCUACAGCUACUGGUAUUGCCACCCAGAGAGAUGACCACUAUUGUGGCUGAGACAUCCAGCAGCAGCUGGACUGGUAUGUGUACAAGCAGCAGCCUUGUCACUAGGAAGCAGUAGCUGCCACCUGUUCUCGCCCUCUGUGCUCCUAGCAGCCAUUGCCACAUACUUCCCUAUGAUCAGUUGCUGCAAGCAGCAACAGCAGCUUGACCCCAGACCAGGGUCGGAUGGGCAUCUGCAUCAGCCAUGCCAGCAGAUCAUAACUCUAGUGACGAGCUCUUCUGGAAGAGACAUGACUAAUGAUGAAAAGCACCACUGGUCUUUUUCUUACUACCAGUACCAACAUUUAUUUGCGUUCUUAGAAAGCACGCAGGACUUUGCUGUUGGUGAAAGUUCUGUUUGACUCAGAGGAGAAACUGCUGUCAGGCACUUAUUAUAAAUGCAGGUUAUUUGACUAAUUCAGGGUGAUUAUUAGUUGAUGCAUAUCAACUGCUGAUACAUUUCUAGGUGAAAUGCAAAGUGCUGAUGAUCAUAUAUAAAGCCCUAAACAGCUUGGGUUUGGGGUAUUUACGAGAACAUCAUCUUUUCCAUAUGCCCCACAUAUAGAGGUCAUCUGCAAGGUCUGCCUAUAGUUACCACCAACUCAUCGAGUGGAGGCUCAGGCCUUCCCCAAGACACUGGAAUGCACUUCCUGUCAGAGCAAGAGCUUCAACGUUCCUGGCAGCUUUUAGAAAAAAACCUUAAGUUCAGCCAGGCUUUUCGUUAAUAUUUAAGUAGUUUUAAAAUGUUUGUAUUGGUUUUGUUUCUAGUGUUUUUAAUUUGAGGCUUUUUAGAAAUGUAAUUUUCUGUAAACUGCCUUGAGACAUA